rnacentral:antisense_RNA from 1 species
CUUGAUGGACCCGAGCCGGACGGGCCGGUCCUCGGAGCGUGCCUUGCCGUACGUGGCCAGUAGCGCCUGUGCCUC